rnacentral:ribozyme from 1 species
GGCCGGCAAAUCUGAUCCCCACCUCCUCGUGGUGCUGGAUGGGGUGCGGAGGUGGUUUGGUACACCACCUCUGUAUGCUGACGGGGUCGG